rnacentral:rRNA from 1 species
CGCACGCAGGCGGUCUGUCAAGUCGGAUGUGAAAUCCCCGGGCUCAACCUGGGAACUGCAUUCGAAACUGGCAGGCUUGAGUCUUGUAGAGGGGGGUAGAAUUCCAGGUGUAGCGGUGAAAUGCGUAGAGAUCUGGAGGAAUACCGGUGGCGAAGGCGGCCCCCUGGACAAAGACUGACGCUCAGGUGCGAAAGCGUGGGGAGCAAACAGGAUUAGAUACCCUGGUAGUCCACGCCGUAAACGAUGUCUACUUGGAGGUUGUGCCCUUGAGGCGUGGCUUCCGGAGCUAACGCGUUAAGUAGACCGCCUGGGGAGUACGGCCGCAAGGUUAAAACUCAAAUGAAUUGACGGGGGCCCGCACAAGCGGUGGAGCAUGUGGUUUAAUUCGAUGCAACGCGAAGAACCUUACCUGGUCUUGACAUCCACGGAAGUUUUCAGAGAUGAGAAUGUGCCUUCGGGAACCGUGAGACAGGUGCUGCAUGGCUGUCGUCAGCUCGUGUUGUGAAAUGUUGGGUUAAGUCCCGCAACGAGCGCAAC